GCAUUUCUACGGGGCGCAGCAGUGAGGAAUAUUGGUCAAUGGCCGGAAGGCUGAACCAGCCACGCCGCGUGAAGGACGAAGGUGCCAAGCAUUGUAAACUUCUUUUGUCAAGGGACAAAGUCAGGCUCGAGAGCCUGACCGAGGGUACUUGAAGAAAAAGCAUCGGCUAACUCCGUGCCAGCAGCCGCGGUAAUACGUAGGGGACUAGCGUUAUCCGGAAUUACUGGGCGUAAAGGGUGCGUAGGUGGUUUCUUAAGUCAGAGGUGAAAGGCUACGGCUCAACCGUAGUAAGCCUUUGAAACUGG
rnacentral:rRNA from 1 species